rnacentral:rRNA from 1 species
CAUGCAGGCGGUUAGACAAGUCAGAUGUGAAAUUCCAGGGCUUAACCUUGGGGCUGCAUUUGAUACGUGUAGACUAGAGUGUGAGAGAGGGUUGUGGAAUUCCCAGUGUAGAGGUGAAAUUCGUAGAUAUUGGGAAGAACACCGGUGGCGAAGGCGGCAACCUGGCUCAUUACUGACGCUGAGGCGCGAAAGCGUGGGGAGCAAACAGGAUUAGAUACCCUAGUA